AAGUCCUCAUGGCCUUUAUGUCUAGGGCUACACACGUACUACAAUGGCCGGUACAAAGGGCAGCCACUCAGCGAUGAGGGCGCUAAUCCCAUAAAGCCGGUCUCAGUCCGGAUCGCAGUCUGCAACUCGACUGCGUGAAGUUGGAAUCGCUAGUAAUCGUAGAUCAGCAUGCUACGGUGAAUACGUUCCCGGGCCUU
rnacentral:rRNA from 1 species